rnacentral:misc_RNA from 1 species
GAUGAAGAACGUAGCGAAAUGCGAUAAGUAAUGUGAAUUGCAGAAUUCAGUGAAUCAUCGAAUCUUUGAACGCACCUUGCGCCCUUUGGCCAUUCCGAAGGGCAUGCCUGUUUGAGUAUCAUGAACACCUCAACUCUCAUGGCUUGCCAUGAUGAGCUUGGACUUUGGGGGUCUUGCUGGCCUGUGGUCGGCUCCUCUCAAAUGAAUCAGCUUGCCAGUGUUUGGUGGCAUCACCAGUGUGAUAACUAUCUGCGCUCGUGGUUUCCAUCAGAUAACCUCCAGUGAUGGAGGUUCGCUGGAGCUCAUAAAUGUCUCUCCUAAGCGAGGACAGCUCUUUUAAUGUUUGAUCUCAAAUCAGGUAGGACUACCCGCUGAACUUAAGCAUAUCAAUAAGCGGAGGA